rnacentral:rRNA from 1 species
AGAGUUUGAUCAUGGCUCAGGAUGAACGCUAGCUACAGGCUUAACACAUGCAAGUCGAGGGGAAACGACAUCGAAAGCUUGCUUUUGAUGGGCGUCGACCGGCGCACGGGUGAGUAACGCGUAUCCAACCUGCCCACCACUUGGGGAUAACCUUGCGAAAGUAAGACUAAUACCCAAUGACGUCUCUAGAAGACAUCUGAAGGAGAUUAAAGAUUUAUCGGUGAUGGAUGGGGAUGCGUCUGAUUAGCUUGGUUGGCGGGGUAACGCCACCAAGGCGACAAUCGAGUAGGGGUUCUGAGAGGAAGGUCCCCCANAUUGGAACUGAGACACGGUCCAAACGUCCUACGGGAGGCA